AUGCCAUUCGGGCUGACGAACGUGCCGGCCAUGUUCCAGUGCCUGAUGAACGCAAUCUUCGCCAAGUACGUGCGCAAGUUCGUAAUCAUAUUUUUGGAUGACAUUUUGAUCUUCAGUGAAACGCUGGAGGAGCACCUGGAACAUCUUCGUCUCGUUCUCGCUCUGCUUCGCGAGCACCAACUGUACGCGAGGAGUCCAAGUGUUCGUUCGCACAAGACAGCAUCUCCUACCUUGGCCAUAUCAUUUCUAAGGACGGCGUCGCCACGGAUCCCGAGAAGACGCAAGCUAUGGUGGCAUGGCCGACACCAACAACUGCCACCGAGCUGCGUGGCUUCCUCGGCCUCACCAGCUAGUACCGCAAGUUCAUUGCGCACUACGGCAUCAUUGCCAAGCCGCUCACAAGUUUACUGA
rnacentral:rRNA from 1 species